GUGCUGACGGUGGGGGUUAAGCC
rnacentral:piRNA from 1 species